AUGAUUCCUUCUUGGUGUAAAAAAAAACAGAUAUAAUUGUUUCAACAAGUUAAGGAGAAUUAUUUUCCCUAUGAGAAACAAAAUUAUUAUUCUCAAUAUAAUACUGCAAAGAAUAGGACUGACAAUUGAAAUCAAAUAUAACUUACUUUUUAUCUUAUGCAGUUAUAAAAAUGAACUCUAACAAAAAGCUUUAGUUCAAUAGUUCUGGAGCUGUCUCUGAAACUGUGAGGUCUUGAGGCAAUUGUGUAUAUAGAAAAAGAACUUUGAAGAGGGACUCAAAUCAUUCUGUGCCAACUUUCAGCAAGUCCUCCCAUGUGGUUAAUUUUUCUCUAGGCUUGUUUCUCAGACUCCCAAGUCUCCUCUCCUCAGAAUCUAUCUUUUCCCAUCCGCUGAAUGGAACAAUUCUAACAUUUCUAUCAUCAAGUAACUGGAGGAGUCCCUCUCUGCCAGGCUUUGGUAAACUAGUCACGGCUGCAAGAGUUCCUUGUUCAAGGUCUUGUGAUAUGCUGGCAACAGUUUCUUCGGCACAAUAGAGGUUUGUAGCAAUAAUUCCAGUUGGUCCUCUCUUCAACCACCCGCACACAUACAAGCCCUUUUCAAGCAAUGUUUGAUCUCCCAAAGCAUCAGUAAGAACUCGACCGCUGGCAUUUGGGACCACACCUUUCUGAUGAUCGAAGGGUAAACCAUCAACUGGUACUGAUUUGUAGCCAAUGCUCUUUAGCACCAUCCUAUACAGAGUAGAGUAGAACAAUGAAAUCAAUAGAGCAUCCCAGAAAAUUAGUUUCACAACAGAACUAACUCAAAAUUGUCCAGUUACACAGUUAAUUUUUCCAACUCACAUUAGGCUUCAUUGGUGAAACAAAACUAACUGUACAUUAUAAUCCCAAUUCCUUUUGUUUUGAAAGAGAAGGGGGAGGGGAUUGUUCUGUUUGUAGAGAUCACAUCUCCCAUGGUCCUUAUGAUACGAUAUGAUGUGGAUUGAAACUAGUCAAUAAUAAAUCAAGAAAUGGAACCACAGACAGCAAUAUUGAAAAAGACCACUGAUUUUGGUAAAAUAUAUAAUUAGUCCAAACUAGGCAUGCCAAAAAUUUACCCACAGUCGAGGUCCUCAAAUUUUCCAGUACCUAUGGCAACCUGUUUUCCAGGGCCAACACCUUUAAGCACAGUCUUCUCAAAGUGCACACCGGCAACAUGGCCAGUUCCUGAAUCCAAAAAACAAGCAGGUUUUCGGAAGAAAACAAAGUGAAGUUCUCCUUGCCCAGAACUGGAAUGGGAAUUUCCUGAGGUGGCAGCCUUAGAGAGCAACUCAUAAACCCUCCUCUGAAUUCGAUUGUUUUUCAACACUUCCUCAUCUUCAGAGCUUUUUAAUAAGUCAACCUCCUUGAUGUGAAUAUACAAAUCUUUAAUGCCUGCAAUAGAAUUGCAUUGGAAGUGAUGUUCUGAAAGUAAUAAAAGACAAAACCAAAAACCUGACUAACAAAUAAAGUCAAAUUAAAAAAAAAAUAGAAACAAUAAAUACGUAUAACAAGACAAUAAAGAAGUAAAUACAAUUCAAAUGCAAUACAAUGCCUGCUAAUUUAAACACCAUGAAAGCAAUGAAACUACUUGCAUGUGUUUAGAUCAGUGGAUUCAGAAAUUGGUGUUAGUAGGGUGUUAUUAACAUGCAUUCAUUCGUACCCUCCCCGCUUUUUCUUUCCUUUUGAGUGUUUGUGUGUAUAAAUGAUUGAUGUUUGGGUAAAAUGAUCCUUUCACGAGUUAAACAACACAAAUGGAGUACCCUUUUAAACAUCCAUGAAACAUAACACAACAAUUUAUUAAUGCGAUUGAUAAGAGGUAAACAUAACAAGAUGCUAAGAACUACCAAGAACUUCACGCAGCUCUUUUGCAGUACAAGCUGCUUGGACUGGGCCACGUCUUCCAACUAGAUAAACUUUCCUUAUAGAGCUUUGAUCGAGAGCAGCCAAAGCAUGGCUAGCAAUAUCAGUUGUUGCCAAUUCUGUUGUCGGUCGUAAAAGGAUGCGAGCAACAUCAAGAGCUACAUUUCCCUGGCCCAGAAUAAUAGCUGUAUCAGUGCUCUUCAAAUCAGGAUUCAGGUUUCUGCCAUCUGGGUGGCCAUUAUACCACCAAACAAAUUCUCUAGCUGAGUGUAUCCCUGACAAAUCUUCUCCUGGAAUGCCAAGGUCUCUAUCACUUUCAGCACCGUAGGCAAGUACAACCACAUGAUACAGCUCACGAAGCUCAGCCAGAGAAAUGGACGAGCCAAGAGUGACAUUUCCAAAGAAUGAGCUCCGUUCAUGUUGCACAACCCUUGUAAAUUGGUUUAUCACAAUCUGUUGCAGGUUUUCUUUGUUUCAGGAUGAUCAGGUGCAACACCAGAGCGUACUAAUCCAAAUGGUGUCAGCAAUCGAUCUAUGAUAUCAACUUCUGCUCCUUGGUGAGCCUUCAACAUUUUUUCAGCAGUGUAAAAGCCAGCUGGUCCGCUACCAACUACGCAAACACGUAGAGGAUGAGAAGAGAUAUUUGAGAAGCUUCUUGACAACCACGUCCUUGCUGGAUACAUUGCUACUUCUUCCCUUUUCCCACGCCACAACAGACGACUUGGAAUAGAGAAAGUAGAGGCGUUGCAGAUAGAAAGAACUCUGGUGUAAGCUGUGGAAAAUGGCGUGAAGCUGGAACUAGCGGCGUGACUCUGUAACUAUGGCACUGGCGAGGGGAGCACGGUGGUGUUAUGGGGUCCAAUGGUGUGCGGGUGGUUAAUUUGGGAGCAAGGAUGGGUCUUGACAGGGGUGAACCUUCAAAGUAAUGGGUUAAACGUGUUGCGUCUUGACCGAAAGGGCUGGGGGAGAAGGGCGCGAUCUGCUAAAGGUGGGAGCUCGAGAUGGUGGCGUUCAGCUAGGUGGUGGGUCUACGUUGAUGGAGAAUUCACAGAAAAUUCGCUGAGAGCUGCUGGGAUUUCUCUUGCUUCAAGCUCUACACUCGCUGGUCUAGAGGCAGCGCUAUGUGAUUGAAUGGGUGGUAAUUUCAGGAGAUGGAGGGAGAUGGACUAGUGAAGGAGGAAUUGUAGUGGUGUCGGGCUCUGUAGAGAGGGAGGGAGGAGCUUUUGUGGGUGAG
rnacentral:misc_RNA from 1 species